rnacentral:rRNA from 2 species
GGUUAAGCGACUAAGCGUACACGGUGGAUGCCCUGGCAGUCAGAGGCGAUGAAGGGCGUGCUAAUCUGCGAUAAGCGCCGGUAAGGUGAUAUGAACCGUUAUAACCGGCGAUACCCGAAUGGGGAAACCCAGUGUGACUCGUCACACUAUCAUUAACUGAAUCCAUAGGUUAAUGAGGCGAACCGGGGGAACUGAAACAUCUAAGUACCCCGAGGAAAAGAAAUCAACCGAGAUUCCCCCAGUAGCGGCGAGCGAACGGGGAGGAGCCCAGAGCCUGAAUCAGCAUGUGUGUUAGUGGAAGCGUCUGGAAAGGCGCGCGAUACAGGGUGACAGCCCCGUACACAAAAGCGCAUGUGCUGUGAGCUCGAUGAGUAGGGCGGGACACGUGGUAUCCUGUCUGAAUAUGGGGGGACCAUCCUCCAAGGCUAAAUACUCCUGACUGACCGAUAGUGAACCAGUACCGUGAGGGAAAGGCGAAAAGAACCCCGGCGAGGGGAGUGAAAAAGAACCUGAAACCGUGUACGUACAAGCAGUGGGAGCACCCUUUG